UUUUAGCUUCUCUGAGGUGUGUUCACCGGAUCAGAGAUAGCAGAGCGCCGAGUUGGGGCCACGAAGGCGUGAGGGGAGUCGUCGUCCCUCCUGCACGAAAGCGUCUAAGCCUUGGCGACGCCGCCCUGGGGGACCCACGUCAGGCCUGGGAUAGGGACCGCUGUCCCCGGGUCCCUACCAAUGUCGCCCGUCGCUCCCGGCCCAGCUCUACCCGCAGAGUCUGAUGGCAGCGGCCACUCUGAGGACGCCAACUCAGGGCACUGUGACCUUUGAAGAUGUGGCCGUACACUUCUCCUGGGAGGAAUGGGGUCUCCUUGAUGAGGCUCAAAGAUGCCUGUACCGUGAUGUGAUGCUGGAGAACUUGGCUCUUUUAACCUCUCUAGAUGUUCAUCAUCAGAAGCAGCACCUUGGAGAAAAACAUUUCAGAAGCAAUGUGGGCAGAGCCUUGUUUGUGAAGACCUGCACAUUCCAUGUGUCAGGGGAGCCUUCCACCUGCAGAGAAGUUGGGAAGGACUUCCUGGCCAAGUUGGGAUUUCUCCAUCAACAGGCUGCUCACACUGGGGAGCAAUCAAAUAGCAAAAGCGACGGUGGGGCCAUCAGUCACAGAGGAAAAACUCAUUACAACUGUGGAGAACACACAAAAGCAUUCAGCGGUAAACACACACUUGUUCAGCAGCAGAGAACCCUCACUACAGAAAGAUGUUACAUAUGCAGUGAAUGUGGGAAAUCCUUUAGCAAAAGCUACAGUCUCAAUGACCAUUGGAGACUUCACACUGGAGAAAAGCCUUAUGAAUGUCGAGAGUGUGGGAAGUCCUUUAGGCAAAGCUCUAGUCUCAUUCAGCACCGGAGAGUUCACACUGCAGUACGACCUCAUGAAUGUGAUGAAUGUGGAAAAUUAUUUAGCAACAAGUCUAACCUCAUUAAACAUCGGAGAGUUCACACUGGGGAAAGGCCAUAUGAGUGCAGUGAAUGUGGGAAAUCCUUUAGCCAAAGGUCUGCACUCCUUCAACAUCGGGGAGUUCACACUGGGGAGAGGCCUUAUGAGUGCAGUGAAUGUGGGAAGUUUUUUACAUAUCAUUCCAGUCUCAUAAAACACCAGAAAGUUCACAGUGGAUCCAGGCCUUAUGAGUGCAGCGAAUGUGGGAAGUCAUUUAGCCAAAACUCUAGCCUCAUUGAACACCAUAGGGUUCACACUGGAGAAAGGCCUUAUAAGUGCAGCGAAUGUGGGAAAUCCUUUAGCCAAAGGUCUGCACUCCUUCAACAUCGGGGAGUUCACACUGGGGAGAGGCCUUAUGAGUGCAGUGAAUGUGGGAAGUUCUUUCCCUACAGCUCCAGUCUCCGAAAACACCAGAGAGUUCACACUGGAUCAAGACCCUAUGAGUGCAGUGAAUGUGGGAAAUCCUUUACUCAAAAUUCCGGCCUCAUUAAGCACAGGAGGGUUCACACUGGGGAGAAGCCUUAUGAGUGCACGGAAUGUGGGAAAUCCUUUAGCCAUAACUCCAGCCUUAUUAAACAUCAGAGAAUUCAUAGUCGAUAAAAGCCUUAUGAGUGGCAAAUGUGGAAAAUCUGUUAGCACCCUGGAGAAAGUCCUUGAGUACACAGUGAAUGUCAGAAAGCUUCAGCUGAAGGCCAUAUCUCAUUGAGUGCCACACAGUUCACAAGGGAAAGACACUUUUGAUAUGUAGGGAUGUCCAGUUGAUAUAACAGCUCUGAAGGAGAUCCCUUAUGAGGGUGGCAUCAGCCUGAAUUGAACAUCCUAUAUCUGAACAUCUGCAUAAAUUCCAGGUAUGUGUGAACUGCAUUGCACCUUUUGCCCUGCCCAGGGCCCAUGUCAGAUUUAUGUCUCUGCUGAUACUAUAGUGGAAGCCAUUUUACCUCUACUGCCUGGCAGGUGACCACCAGUGUGCACCACUCACCCAUCCCAGUGUAUUCAGGCCAUGGACCUGACCCAGUUUGGCCCAGAGGACUCUGCUGGUGACCUGAAAAGAGGGACUACAUAUUUCAGGAUAUUGUUGGUCUCACAUGACUCUUGAUAGAGUUUGCCAGCCUUCAAAUCACCAACUGUGGGAACCAACUGCCUCUUAUUGCCUUGCUGUGUUCAAUUACAAAAAAAGAUGGAAAAGACUGUUAUGAAGCCAGAUGAACCUUUCUCCAGUCUUCCUUCACUAUUUUUUUUUCCUUCACCAUUUAUCAUUUCAUAGUCAUUUAUGUUUCAUCGGUCCUCAUGUGUACUAGUGCGUUAUUUUACUUAUACUCCCGGAUAUCAUAUUAUUUAAUGCAUAGCCUCUUCAGAAUGCAAUUUUAAAAUGUAAAGGCUCUUUUAUAACCCCCCAAAAAAUCACACAAAUAUAUUUUAAAAUGUAAAUAUUUUAUCGCUUCUGUUUUCUCAGUUGUCUAAAACAAUGUGUUUCUUAAGGAAGAUCAUUUUUAUUCAGGAUCCAAAUGUAUAUUUAAUAGCUUUCAGUAGUUGUAUCUCAUAAGUCUGUAACCUACAGGUUCCAUUUACCUUUGUUUUCUUAUUUCUUGAAGUUGCUGAGUCAUUUUUUAAUUAGAAUUUGCUGUAUUCU
rnacentral:lncRNA from 1 species